rnacentral:rRNA from 1 species
AGGACGAACGCUGGCGGCGUGCUUAACACAUGCAAGUCGAGCGGUAAGGCCUUUCGGGGUACACGAGCGGCGAACGGGUGAGUAACACGUGGGUGAUCUGCCCUGCACUCUGGGAUAAGCCUGGGAAACUGGGUCUAAUACCGGAUAUGACCUGCUCUCGCAUGGGGGGUGGGUGGAAAGAUUUAUCGGUGCAGGAUGGGCCCGCGGCCUAUCAGCUUGUUGGUGGGGUAAUGGCCUACCAAGGCGACGACGGGUAGCCGACCUGAGAGGGUGACCGGCCACACUGGGACUGAGACACGGCCCAGACUCCUACGGGAGGCAGCAGUGGGAAUAUUGCACAAUGGGCGAAAGCCUGAUGCAGCGACGCCGCGUGAGGAUGAAGGCCUUCGGGUUGUAAACCUCUUUCAGCAAGGGACGAAGCGACGAAGUGACGGUACCUGACAGAAGAAGCGACCGGCUAACUACGUGACCAGGCAGCCGC